rnacentral:rRNA from 1 species
ACUACAUACCGUCCUGCCCUGAAUAUACUUGGUUUGAGUUCUGAAGCUAAGCAGGGUUGAGCCUGGUUAGGACAUGGAUGGGAGACCACCAAUGAAUAUUUAUUUAUUUAUUU